UGGGGAAUAUUGCACAAUGGAGGGAACUCUGAUGCAGCGACGCCGCGUGAACGAAGAAGGCUUUCGAGUCGUAAAGUUCUUUUAUAUGGGAAGAUAAUGACGGUACCAUAAGAAAAAGCCCCGGCUAACUACGUGCCAGCAGCCGCGGUAAUACGUAGGGGGCUAGCGUUGUCCGGAAUCACUGGGCGUAAAGGGUUCGCAGGCGGAAAUGCAAGUCAGGUGUAAAAGGCAGUAGCUUAACUACUGUAAGCAUUUGAAACUGAAUAUCUUGAGAAGAGUAGAGGUAAGUGGAAUUUUUAGUGUAGCGGUGAAAUGCGUAGAUAUUAAAAAGAAUACCGGUGGCGAAGGCGACUUACUGGGCUCAUUCUGACGCUGAGGAACGAAAGCGUGGGUAGCAAACAGG
rnacentral:rRNA from 2 species